rnacentral:pre_miRNA from 1 species
UGACGUCGAUGAUGAUGAUGAUGACGACGACGAUGAUGAUGACGAUGAUGAUGACGCUUUUUCUACGGAAUGUGUAUAUUUCAACUCUUCUUUUUCAUCAUCAUCUUCGUCGUCACCAUCAUCCUCAUCU